rnacentral:rRNA from 1 species
GCAAGUCGAGGGGUAACAUUUUAGCUUGCUAAAGAUGACGACCGGCGCACGGGUGCGUAACGCGUAUAGAACCUACCACAAACAGGAGGAUACCAUUUGGAAACGAAGAUUAAUACUCCAUAGUGUUAUAGACUGGCAUCGGUUUAUGAUUAAAGAUUUAUUGGUUUGUGAUGGCUAUGGGUCCUAUUAGUUGGUUGGUAGGUAACGGCUUACCAAGACAUCGAUAGGUAGGGGUCCUGAGAGGGAGAUC